GUGAUUUACAUUUAUUCUUCACAACAGUCCUGGGAGGCAGGUAUUAUACUGCUACUAGUGUCAUUUUACAGAAGAAACCUGAAACACGUAGGAAUAACUUGUCCAUAGUCACAUAGCCAGUAUGUGAAAGAGCCGAUUUGAACCUAGGAUGUUGGCUUCAGAUCUCCAGCUUUUUAUCAUUCUAUACUGCUUCUCAAAAAGGAGAGUAAUUUGAGGGAAAUCAUUGAGAGUUGCCAGUUUUAUUAGUCUUGAGGCAGUGAUUUAAGAAAAUUAUUUCAGUUUUGUUUUGUUUUAUAAAUGCUUUAUGUAGGCUGGGAGUGGUGGCAUCUGUAAUCCUAGCACUUUGGGAGGCAGAGAUGGGAGGAUAGCCUGAGCCCAGGAGUUCAUGACCAGCCUGGGCAACAUGGCGAGACCCCAUUUCUAUUAAAAAGGGGUGGCUCAUGCUACUCCCAGCACUUUGGGAGUCUGAGGUGGGCAGAUCACUUGAAGCCAGGAGUUCAAGACCAGCCUGGCCAACGUGGUGAAACCCUGUCUCUACUAAAAAUAGAAAAAUUAGCCACGGCUGGUGGUGCAUGCCUGUAAUCCCAGCUACUCAGGAGGCUGAGGGAGGAGAAUCGCUUGAACCCAGGAGGGAGAGUGGCAGUGAGCCAAGAUCGC
rnacentral:lncRNA from 1 species